AGUACGUGAAACUGCUUAGAGGUUAAACCCGAUGAACCUGAAUAUCCAUUAUGGAAAAUUCAUCACUAAUAAUAUGAUAUUUAUAAUAUUAUAUAAAUAGUGUGCAAUUUUUCCAUAUAAGGACAUUGUAAUCUGUUAAUGUAAUAAAUAUUUAUCAUAAGAUCCAUUACUUAAGUUUAUUCGAAUUAGUUAUUUUCGGAUUUCUAACAUAGGAUAAAUGUUUUGGAUUUGAUAAAUCAUUGACAGAUAUAAUUAUAUAAUGUGCUUAAAUUUUUCGGAAUUUUAUCAAUGGUAGAUGAAUCUAAUGAUUUGUUUAUUUAAUUGUAUGCACUAUUAUGAUUAACAAUGCGAUAGAUUCAGGAUACCUUCGGGACCCGUCUUGAAACACGGACCAAGGAGUCUAACAUAUGUGCAAGUCAUUGGGUAUUUUUAAUAAAACCCAAUGGCGUAAUUAACUUAACUGUUAUAUAAUGGGAUUAGUUUAUAUUUUGUUAUGAAAUAUUAAUUCAAUCCCGGGGCGUUCUAUAUAGUUAUGUAUAAUAGUAUUUAUAUUAUUUAUGCCUCUAACUCGAGC
rnacentral:rRNA from 2 species